rnacentral:rRNA from 1 species
UACGAAGGGUGCAAGCGUUACUCGGAAUUACUGGGCGUAAAGCGUGCGCAGGCGGUUAUGUAAGACAGAUGUGAAAUCCCCGGGCUUAACCUGGGAACUGCAUUUGUGACUGCAUGGCUAGAGUUUGGCAGAGGGGGGUAGAAUUCCACGUGUAGCAGUGAAAUGCGUAGAUAUGUGGAGGAAUACCGAUGGCGAAGGCAGCCCCCUGGGUCAAGACUGACGCUCAUGCACGAAAGCGUGGGGAGCAAACAGG